GAGAACUUCAUUCUCUCAACGAUAUACUCUA
rnacentral:piRNA from 1 species